GUCCACGCCCUAAACGAUGUCAACUGGUUGUUGGGUCUUCACUGACUCAGUAACGAAGCUAACGCGUGAAGUUGACCGCCUGGGGAGUACGGCCGCAAGGUUAAACUCAAAGGAAUUGACGGGACCCGCACAAGCGGUGGAUGAUGUGGUUUAAUUCGAUGCAACGCGAAAACCUUACCCACCUUUGACAUGGCAGAAAUCCUUUAGAGAUAGAGGAGUGCUCGAAAGAGAAUCUGCACACAGGUGCUGCAUGGCUGUCGU
rnacentral:rRNA from 1 species